rnacentral:rRNA from 1 species
UACGUCAGCGGCAGACGGGUGAGUAACGCGUGGGAACAUACCUCUUGGUUCGGAACAACACAGGGAAACUUGUGCUAAUACCGGAUAAGCCCUUACGGGGAAAGAUUUAUCGCCGAGGGAUUGGCCCGCGUCUGAUUAGCUAGUUGGUGAGGUAACGGCUCACCAAGGCGACGAUCAGUAGCUGGUCUGAGAGGAUGAUCAGCCACAUUGGGACUGAGACACGGCCCAA